rnacentral:rRNA from 1 species
AACAAACGCUGGCGGCAGGCCUAACACAUGCAAGUCGAGCGAAGCCUUCGGGCUUAGCGGCGGACGGGUGAGUAACGCGUGGGAACGUGCCCUUUGGUACGGAAUAGCCCCGGGAAACUGGGAGUAAUACCGUAUGUGGUCGAGAGACGAAAGAUUUAUCGCCAAAGGAUCGGCCCGCGUUGGAUUAGGUAGUUGGUGGGGUAAUGGCCUACCAAGCCGACGAUCCAUAGCUGGUUUGAGAGGAUGAUCAGCCACACUGGGACUGAGACACGGCCCAGACUCCUACGGGAGGCAGCAGUGGGGAAUUUUAGACAAUGGGGGAAACCCUGAUCUAGCCAUGCCGCGUGAUCGAUGAAGGCCUUAGGGUUGUAAAGAUCUUUCAGUGGGGAAGAUAAUGACUGUACCCACAGAAGAAGCCCCGGCUAACUCCGUGCCAGCCGCCGCAGUAAUAC